UAGGCACUCAAAUAUUUGUUGGCAAAGUGAAUAUUCCUCAUUGCAGGCAGAGCUCGGGGUCCACACGGAGGAAUUUCAGAGGCUGAAAGCACGCUUGAAGAAGAAAGGGGGCCUGGGCUUUGCACCAACUUCAGGAUUGCGUACUUGUUUCCUCAUCCGUUAAAUGGGAGCAGCUGAAUGUGUCUCCUAGCGUUUUCGAGAUUGUAGGUUGAUAGAACUAUGUACAGCACCCAGUAUUCAUUCUUGCUUCGUUUAGGUUUACAAUACAUGGAAGCUAACAUUAUUAUUAAGGAAACUUCCAUUUUUCCCGGGCCUCAGAAAGCUUUUCCAAUACUCGAUCGUUUAAGCUUCUGGUUUUUUGUUUUGUUUUGUUUUUUUUUUUAGAAAAAUGAGGGUCUCACUUUGUUGCCCAGGCGGAUCUCGAACUCCUGGCCUCAAGUGAUCCUCCCGCUUUUGGCCUCCCAAACUGAUGGAAUUACCGUCUGGAACCACUGUGUUAAACUCUUAGAUUUGACUGCUACAAAUGUAUAAAUGUGGAACUCCAUGUAUCAGUGGGUUUUGCCCCACUUCUUACUCCCAGGAAUUCUCCGACCCAGCCUGCUGCUCCUGUCCUGCACCAGGGAACAAACAUGUAUCCUGGAUGAAAAUAAACCAAGUCUAUUGAAAUUGCAACCCAAGACAUUCAGAAGAGACAAGGCUACAGUGAAUCUGGAAAGUUUGCACGUGUUUGGAUGUAUUGAUUGCCUUAACUGGCAGCCCUUUGCACUGCCAGCUUCUCCCUCAAUUACAUGAGGAACCACGAGGGGGCAAUGUCUUCCCGAGCAAUAAUAGGUGAGUGGUGGUCUUAGGACCCCGUGGUGGCCCAUGAUGCUAGCACUGUGUCUUUGGCCAUUCUUGCCUGUUAUGGAGGGUAGUCCACAGAAGGGCAUGGUCUUCUUGGAGCCUGGCAUGGGCCCAACAAAAAUGACAAUGUAGUCAAUAGUUCCACUCAGACUUCACUUGGGAGCAGGUGGACUACGUUGUGUGAUAUCAGGAUGCCUGGAGAACCUCUCCUAUCCCC
rnacentral:lncRNA from 1 species